rnacentral:rRNA from 1 species
CGAACGCUGGCGGCAGGCUUAACACAUGCAAGUCGAGCGAGAUCUUCGGAUCUAGCGGCGGACGGGUGAGUAACGCGUGGGAACGUGCCCUUUGCUACGGAAUAGUCCCGGGAAACUGGGUUUAAUACCGUAUACGCCCUUCGGGGGAAAGAUUUAUCGGCAAAGGAUCGGCCCGCGUUGGAUUAGGUAGUUGGUGGGGUAAUGGCCUACCAAGCCGACGAUCCAUAGCUGGUUUGAGAGGAUGAUCAGCCACACUGGGACUGAGACACGGCCCAGACUCCUACGGGAGGCAGCAGUGGGGAAUCUUAGACAAUGGGGGCAACCCUGAUCUAGCCAUGCCGCGUGAGUGAUGAAGGCCUUAGGGUUGUAAAGCUCUUUCAGCUGGGAAGAU